AAAUGCCCAGCUCGCCCUUUCCAUCCACAUUCCUCUGCUCAUUCAACAGAACCAUCUGGUGUGUGCCUACCAUGUGCUGAGGACUUAGAAGCAACACCUCAGUCAUUUUCCUUGGGGAUCUCUCAGUCUGUCAGCUGUGGUGAUAGGGACAGGCAACCCAUAAGACAGGUGGGGAAGGGAGCACCGAAAGUCAAUGAAGAGAUGUGAUCUGGAGUGAUUUACUACCAGGCCAAGUGACAGUCACCCUAUUUUGCUAUUUUUUAAUUACCAUUUCGAAUUAAUAAUGUGUCUCUUCCCACGCAUCCCCCUCAGAGUGGGGCGUAAACACCUUUGUAUGUGACUGUGCAGAGCUUUGAAGCUCCCAGAACAGCAGCCCUCCUGCCUUGCCUUCUCCCCAGGUAAUGUGACCCAGGCCUGUCCUUGGCUGCAGCCACCAACCCCACCCGGAGCGGCUGUCUGAACUGCCUGGCCUGCCUGGGUCUCCACGAAGGCCAGGAUCAGGCAGAAGGCGAUGGAGGCACCUCCCGCCUUUGCUUCGUUAGUCCCAGGACGAGCGGGCCCGCGCGUACCCGGAGAGGGGCGGCGGCGCGGGUGGCCUGGCGGGUCCCGGGGCCUCGGUUCGCAUCGGAGUCCCCUCUGUGCUCGCCCUGCAGCCGCUGCCCGAGAGGUCUGAGUCGCCACCAGCUGUGUCCGCGGGGAUGUGGGGAGCGAGAUGGGAGGGGUCGCCCGCUAGUCGUCCCCGCCGGACACCGGGCACCGCGUAGCCUCAGAGAGCCGCCCGGACGCGGGGCCGCCCUGGGGAGCGGGUGAGGCCGAGGACCAGGGGGAAGGAGGAGCCCGUGGACGGCUGCAGCCCCAGGACCAGUCUGUAUUGGACACCAGUGACAUGAGGCCAUUCACCAACCUUGAGGAGAGUUCCAGCCCUCAGCAGACACCCAGGAGACUCUGUUCUCAAUACUCUGUACUAACAACUUGACACAAUGCCAAUACAACCUCAUGAUUAAGAGAAACCAGGCAUGACUCAAUAAACUUUGAUUGUUUGGGACAUCUGCCUCAGUCACUCAUUUUGGUUGUCAGCAUGGACUCUAGAUCAGACCAAGUUGACCUCCCUUCUUCACCAUUAACUGCUUUGAGAUAAGAAGCUACAGCAUCUGUCAAGAGCCGUAUGUAGCUUGAGAUGACUACCUGAAGAUGUAUCAUGGUAUCAGCUGGUUAGUUAAGAAGUCGUUUUCCAGCUUCAACUGGCAAGUAACAAGCCAAGCAAGAAUUUCAAUGGAAAAUUACAGAGAUACUAACAGGUUUGAGUACUUAUGAAUACAAAAUAAAUAAACGGAUUUAAAUUACUUUAUUAUUACAAUGCAGAAAUGAGGAAGUGUAAUAGCCAGCUAGUCUUGGAACAUGGCACUGUGAAUGAAAUGAUUAAUUGCAUAUUCAUCUGGUCUCAGAUACAGGACAUUCUCUUGCAUAGGUUAAAUGUAUUAAUGGUAGAGAAUUAUGCAAAAAAUACUCAUUUUCUCCAAUACCAGAACAUACAGGAAGCAAGUAAAGUGAGUGCCUUUUUACCAAUAGUACCAGUAGAUAAGAAGAUAAGAUACAGAUAAUAAAGCACAGAGCAUUGCACAGAUCUACACCAAUGGAUUGGAAUGGAAUGUAGGAUUCUCUUCUUGCUGUGGACACCAUCAAAAUGUGAGAUCACUUCUCUGCUCAAUAGGACAAUCAUACUGAUUCCUUAGGAAGACAUAUAGGAAUCAGUAGAGGGAGAUCCUACCCUGGAAUCGUUUGAUGUCCUUGGGUUAUCUUCCUCUACAAAAAGGGCUAGUUGAAAUAAUGACAUGUGGGAGAUCAGCACUCCAAGUCAAAAUUGCAAAACAGAAGAAAAUUCCAGAAUUAUAUCACUGUUAACAGAUAAACCUUGCAGUGUACCCAGUUGGAUUUCAGAACAUUGAAGAGCAGCAGCUUUUAUGGGAAUAAGAGUGUCCCUUACAGGUAAUCUCCUCGACAUUUAUAUUGGGUGAGUCACAGUCAGAAAAUAUCUUAGUUUGUAACUUUGAGGAUGAAGAGUAGGUGUAUUCAAGGAGCUACCUUCUUGAACACAAUUGAAGGUCAUGAAAUUCUGAACUUCAAGGUUGAUACCAUGAUUUCAUGAGACUUUUGAAAGUCCUAGGAUGGCAAUGAGAAUAUCUUUUAUGUGGAAAAAUUGUGGGUAAUUUGUGGCCAGAGGUUGGACUGUGGUAGAUUCGAAAAGUGGUUGCAAAAGUUUUCCAUUCUUGUUUCAUGUCCUUCAGUCAUGACUUCUCCUAGUGACUUUAAGAUUAUCGAUGUGAUUUGCUUUGCCUAUGAGGCAAUAAGCAAAUGUGACACAAGCAGAGGCUUAAAAAUGCGUAUGCUUUAGGAGAGGUUAGCUGUUGCUCUUGGGAAACACAGAACCAUAUAAAGCUGCUAACCUUCUGGCAGAUGAGAAUCAUCACGGAGCAGAGAUGAGGCUAAACAGCUGAGGCUUCUCUAAAAAACAAAACAAACAAACAAACAAACAAAAGCAGUGCACUUCUCAGGUGAUUGGCAUCGGAUAGCAGAAGCAUCGGUGAGUCAGCUGAGGUACAUAGAAGAAAUGCCUACCUGAGCCAACCCAAAUUGCCAACCCACAAAAAUCUGAAACCAAAUAAAUUGUUUAAAACUACUAGGUUUGAGAGUAUUUUGUUACAAAGCAGGUUAACCAAGGCAAUUAAAUGUAAAAGGUAUACUAAAUGAAUAAUUUUAUAAACAUUAAGCCAUAAUGACAUCAAAUUGAUUUUGAAGUUCAUUAAUGCAUACAGUCCUCAAACUGCUUUAUUCAUUGUAUACUGUAAUGUUUCACAUUUAA
rnacentral:lncRNA from 10 species